rnacentral:rRNA from 1 species
GAAACUGCGAAUGGCUCAUUAAAUCAGUUAUCGUUUAUUUGGUGGUACCUUACUACAUGGAUGACCGUGGUAAUUCUAGAGCUAAUACAUGCUAAAAACCUCGACUUCGGAAGGGGUGUAUUUAUUAGAUAAAAAACCAAUGCCCUUCGGGGCUCCUUGGUGAAUCAUAAUAACUUAACGAAUCGCAUGGCCUUGCGCCGGCGAUGGUUCAUUCAAAUUUCUGCCCUAUCAACUUUCGAUGGUAGGAUAGUGGCCUACCAUGGUAUCAACGGGUAACGGGGAAUUAGGGUUCGACUCCGGAGAGGGAGCCUGAGAAACGGCUACCACAUCCAAGGAAGGCAGCAGGCGCGCAAAUUACCCAAUCCCGACACGGGGAGGUAGUGACAAUAAAUACUGAUACAGGGCUCUUUUGGGUCUUGUAAUUGGAAUGAGUACAAUUUAAAUCCCUUAACGAGGAACAAUUGGAGGGCAAGUCUGGUGCCAGCAGCCGCGGUAAUUCCAGCUCCAAUAGCGUAUAUUAAAGUUGUUGCAGUUAAAAAGCUCGUAGUUGAACCUUGGGCCUGGCUGGCCGGUCCGCCUCACCGCGUGUACUGGUCCGGCCGGGCCUUUCCUUCUGGGGAACCUCAUGCCCUUCACUGGGCGUGUUGGGGAACCAGGACUUUUACUUUGAAAAAAUUAGAGUGUUCAAAGCAGGCCUUUGCUCGAAUACAUUAGCAUGGAAUAAUAGAAUAGGACGUGUGGUUCUAUUUUGUUGGUUUCUAGGACCGCCGUAAUGAUUAAUAGGGAUAGUCGGGGGCAUCAGUAUUCAAUCGUCAGAGGUGAAAUUCUUGGAUUGAUUGAAGACUAACUACUGCGAAAGCAUUUGCCAAGGAUGUUUUCAUUAAUCAGUGAACGAAAGUUAGGGGAUCGAAGACGAUCAGAUACCGUCGUAGUCUUAACCAUAAACUAUGCCGACUAGGGAUCGGACGGUGUUAGUAUUUUGACCCGUUCGGCACCUUACGAGAAAUCAAAGUUUUUGGGUUCUGGGGGGAGUAUGGUCGCAAGGCUGAAACUUAAAGAAAUUGACGGAAGGGCACCACCAGGCGUGUGACUGCGGCUUAAUUUGACUCAACACGGGGAAACUCACCAGGUCCAGACACAAUAAGGAUUGACAGAUUGAGAGCUCUUUCUUGAUUUUGUGGGUGGUGGUGCAUGGCCGUUCUUAGUUGGUGGAGUGAUUUGUCUGCUUAAUUGCGAUAACGAACGAGACCUUAACCUGCUAAAUAGCCAGGCCCCCCCCCGCGGGUCGCCGGCUUCUUAGAGGGACUAUCGGCUCAAGCCGAUGGAAGUUUGAGGCAAUACACAGGUCUGUGAUGCCC